GAUACGAGAGAUCGUAUCCUUCAGUUCGGCUGGAUCGGAGACAGGUGCUGCAUGGCUGUCGUCAGCUCGUGUCGUGAGAUGUUGGGUUAAGUCCCGCAACGAGCGCAACCCUCGCCCUUAGUUGCCAGCAUUCAGUUGGGCACUCUAAGGGGACUGCCGGUGAUAAGCCGAGAGGAAGGUGGGGAUGACGUCAAGUCCUCAUGGCCCUUACGGGCUGGGCUACACACGUGCUACAAUGGUGGUGACAGUGGGCAGCGAGACCGCGAGGUCGAGCUAAUCUCCAAAAGCCAUCUCAGUUCGGAUUGCACUCUGCAACUCGAGUGCAUGAAGUUGGAAUCGCUAGUAAUCGCAGAUCAGCA
rnacentral:rRNA from 1 species